rnacentral:ncRNA from 1 species
UGUAUUGAUUUUAAAGAUUUGAAUAAGGAUUGCCCUAAAGAUUUGGCGGCACAUCUUUUAAAAGAUAACGCAGGUACCCUAAGAUGGCUCAACGAGAACGGAAAUCUCGUGCGGAACAGAAGGGUAAAAGGUCGUUUCAUAUUUUCAGUACAAAUAAUAACCAUGAAAGUGUGGCCUAACGAUCCUUUAGUCUUCGGAAUUUGAAGCUAGAGGUGUCAGAAAAUUUACCACAGGGCUAACUGGCUUGUGGCAGCCAAACGUUCAUAUCGAUGUUGCUUUUUUAUCCUUCGAUGUCGGCUCAUCCUAUCAUUGUGAAGCAAAAUUCACCAAGUGUUGGAUUGUUCAUCCACCGAUAGGGAAUGUGAGCUGGGUUUAGACCGUUAUGAGAUAGGUU